GAAUUAAUUAAAUUCAGUGAGAAAUUUUUGAUCCCGUAAUGUACGCCGGACGUUUAGAGUGGAUUAAUCAAAAAGGACGGUCUUCAUUUUAUUGUAAGUUCUUCGAAUUAUAAUCAAUAGUUAGCAAGGCAGUUUUAAAAAAAAGUAUGUGUAAAAGUCGAUUUUACUAAGUCUUCUAUUCUCUGUCGCCAGACUAGCGACGUUAAUCUCUAGAAUUUUUUUACAAUGAACCACAAUGCUUAUUAUAUUCGUUCCGGAUUCUUGUUGAUAACACAAUGAUAAGGAAAGUAAGAUAACAUUCGUGAAAUUUAUUUAUUCCUUAACCAUUCGUACUCAACGCGACUAAAAUUGGUACAUAUACUUACUUUAUCGUACUCAAAAGAAGCUCCACAUCUCAGUUUGAUGCACUGAGAGUAGACCAUAGCGCGGGCCAGAACAACAGGGAUCUUAUAAUUAUCCCUUUUUAUUAAGUAGUUAGUAAUUAAUUCAAUCAUUAAUUUCUCGAAUUCUCAAUUAGUCGAGUAGUUAAAUUAUAAUACCAGUGUUUUAGUGAUAAAAUGAACAUGUUUUAUAAAGAAACAAGUAUUCAAUUUGAAACGUCUUUAUUAUAAACGAUUUUAUAAGA